CCUACGGGGUGCUGCAGUGGGGAAUAUUGGACAAUGGGCGAAAGCCUGAUCCAGCCAUGCCGCGUGUGUGAAGAAGGCCUUCGGGUUGUAAAGCACUUUCAGUGGGGAAGAAAGCCUUGGGGCUAAUACCCUCGAGGAAGGACAUCACCCACAGAAGAAGCACCGGCUAACUCCGUGCCAGCAGCCGCGGUAAUACGGAGGGUGCGAGCGUUAAUCGGAAUUACUGGGCGUAAAGCGCGCGUAGGCGGUCUGAUAAGCCGGUUGUGAAAGCCCGGGGCUCAACCUGGGAACGGCAUCCGGAACUGUCAGGCUAGAGUGCAGGAGAGGAAGGUAGAAUUCCCGGUGUAGCGGUGAAAUGCGUAGAGAUCGGGAGGAAUACCAGUGGCGAAGGCGGCCUUCUGGACUGACACUGACGCUGAGGUGCGAAAGCGUGGGUAGCAAACAGGAUUAGAUACCCUAGUAGUC
rnacentral:rRNA from 1 species